rnacentral:rRNA from 1 species
AGAGUUUGAUCCUGGCUCAGGAUGAACGCUAGCGGGAGGCCUAACACAUGCAAGCCGAGCGGUAUGGAUAGCUUGCUAUCCAGAGAGCGGCGUACGGGUGCGUAACACGUGUGCAACCUGCCUUUAUCUGGGGGGUAGCCUUUCGAAAGGAAGAUUAAUACCCCAUAAUAUGGUGUCCGGCACCGGUCGCCAUUGAAAGCCUCGGCGGAUAGAGAUGGGCACGCGCAAGAUUAGAUAGUUGGCGGGGUAACGGCCCACCAAGUCGAUGAUCUUUAGGGGUCCUGAGAGGGAGAUCCCCCACACUGGUACUGAGACACGGACCAGACUCCUACGGGAGGCAGCAGUGAGGAAUAUUGGACAAUGGGUGGAAGCCUGAUCCAGCCAUCCCGCGUGAAGGAUGACGGUCCUAUGGAUUGUAAACUUCUUUUGUACAGGGAUAAACCUGCCCUCGUGAGGGCAGCUGAAGGUACUGUACGAAUAAGCACCGGCUAACUCCGUGCCAGCAGCCGCGGUAAUACGGAGGGUGCGAGCGUUAUCCGGAUUUAUUGGGUUUAAAGGGUCCGUAGGCGGGCCUGUAAGUCAGUGGUGAAAUCUCAUAGCUUAACUAUGAAACUGCCAUUGAUACUGCAGGCCUUGAGUAAAUUUGAAGUGGCUGGAAUAAGUAGUGUAGCGGUGAAAUGCAUAGAUAUUACUUAGAACACCGAUUGCGAAGGCAGGUCACUAAGAUUUAACUGACGCUGAUGGACGAAAGCGUGGGGAGCGAACAGGUUUAGAUACCCUGGUAGUCCACGCCGUAAACGAUGCUAACUCGUUUUUGGAUCUUCGGGUUCAGAGACCAAGCGAAAGUGAUAAGUUAGCCACCUGGGGAGUACGUCCGCAAGGAUGAAACUCAAAGGAAUUGACGGGGGCCCGCACAAGCGGUGGAUUAUGUGGUUUAAUUCGAUGAUACGCGAGGAACCUUACCAAGACUUAAAUGGGAAUUGACAGAUUUAGAAAUAGAUCCUCCUUCGGGCAAUUUUCAAGGUGCUGCAUGGUUGUCGUCAGCUCGUGCCGUGAGGUGUUAGGUUAAGUCCUGCAACGAGCGCAACCCCUGCCAACAGUUGCCAUCAUUCAGUUGGGGACUCUGUUGGGACUGCCUACGCAAGUAGAGAGGAAGGUGGGGAUGACGUCAAAUCAUCACGACCCUUACGUCUUGGGCCACACACGUAAUACAAUGGCCGGUACAGAGGGCAGCUACCUGGUGACAGGAUGCGAAUCUCGAAAGCCGGUCUCAGUUCGGAUUGGAGUCUGCAACUCGACUCUAUGAAGCUGGAAUCGCUAGUAAUCGCGCAUCAGCCAUGGCGCGGUGAAUACGUUCCCGGGCC